rnacentral:rRNA from 1 species
GACGAACGCUGGCGGCGUGCCUAACACAUGCAAGUCGAGCGAGUGAAUCUCCUUCGGGAGUGAAGCUAGCGGCGGACGGGUGAGUAACACGUGGGCAACCUGCCUCAUAGAGGGGAAUAGCCUUCCGAAAGGAAGAUUAAUACCGCAUAAGAUUGUAGCUUCGCAUGAAGUAGCAAUUAAAGGAGCAAUCCGCUAUGAGAUGGGCCCGCGGCGCAUUAGCUAGUUGGUGAGGUAACGGCUCACCAAGGCGACGAUGCGUAGCCGACCUGAGAGGGUGAUCGGCCACAUUGGGACUGAGACACGGCCCAGACUCCUACGGGAGGUAGCAGUGGGGAAUAUUGCACAAUGGGGGAAACCCUGAUGCAGCAACGCCGCGUGAGUGAUGACGGCCUUCGGGUUGUAAAGCUCUGUCUUCAGGGACGAUAAUGACGGUACCUGAGGAGGAAGCCACGGCUAACUACGUGCCAGCCGCCGCGGUAA